rnacentral:rRNA from 1 species
AUUGAACGCUGGCGGCAGGCCUAACACAUGCAAGUCGAGCGAGCGGCGGACGGGUGAGUAAUGUCUGGGAAACUGCCUGAUGGAGGGGGAUAACUACUGGAAACGGUAGCUAAUACCGCAUACCAUCAGAUGUGCCCAGAUGGGAUUAGCUAGUAGGUGGGGUAAUGGCUCACCUAGGCGACGAUCCCUCGCUGGUCUGAGAGGAUGACCAGCCCAACUGGAAUUGAGACACGGUCCAGACUCCUACGGGAGGAAGAAGUGGGGAAUAGUGCACAAGGGGCGAAAGCCUGAUGCAGCAAUGCCGCGUGUGGGAAGAAGGCCUUCGGGUGUUAAAGCACUUUCAGCGGGGAGGCGUUACCCGCAGAAGAAGCACCGGCUAACUCCGUGCCAGCAGCCGCGGUAAUUC